rnacentral:rRNA from 1 species
AGGCCUAACACAUGCAAGUCGAGCGGUAGAGAGGUGCUUGCAUCUCUUGAGAGCGGCGGACGGGUGAGUAAUGCCUAGGAAUCUGCCUAGUGGUGGGGGAUAACGUCGGAAACGGACGCUAAUACCGCAUACGUCCUACGGGAGAAAGCGGGGAUCUUCGGACCUCGCGCCAUUAGAUGAGCCUAGGUCGGAUUAGCUAGUUGGUGAGGUAAUGGCUCACCAAGGCGACGAUCCGUAACUGGUCUGAGAGGAUGAUCAGUCACACUGGAACUGAGACACGGUCCAGACUCCUACGGGAGGCAGCAGUGGGGAAUAUUGGACAAUGGGGCGAAAACCUGAUCCAGCCAUGCCGCGUGUGUGAAGAAGGUCUUCGGAUUGUAAAGCACUUUAAGUUGGGAGGAAGGGUAGUAACCUAAUACGUUGCUACUUUGACGUUACCGACAGAAUAAGCACCGGCUAACUUCGUG